UGGGGAAUUUUGGACAAUGGGCGAAAGCCUGAUCCAGCCAUGCCGCGUGAGUGAAGAAGGCCUUCGGGUUGUAAAGCUCUUUUAGUCGGAAAGAAAGAGUUGCAAUGAAUAAUUGUGAUUUAUGACGGUACCGACAGAAAAAGCACCGGCUAACUACGUGCCAGCAGCCGCGGUAAUACGUAGGGUGCGAGCGUUAAUCGGAAUUACUGGGCGUAAAGGGGGCGCAGGCGGUACAGCAAGUCAGAAGUGAAAGCCCCGGGCUUAACCUGGGAAUUGCGUUUGAAACUACAAGGCUAGAGUGCAGCAGAGGGGAGUGGAAUUCCAUGUGUAGCAGUGAAAUGCGUAGAGAUGUGGAAGAACACCGAUGGCGAAGGCAGCUCCCUGGGUUGACACUGACGCUCAUGCACGAAAGCGUGGGGAGCAAACA
rnacentral:rRNA from 1 species